UUCACCAAAGUCACAACCAUGUAUACCAAAAAACAAAAGUAGUGCUUAUGCUCUGUUUGGUUGGCCUGAAUGGAAUGAGUUUUGGAGAGAAUCGAAUGGUCCAUUCAGCCCAUCAAAAAAUUUUAUUGUUUGGUUGAGCCAAAGUAAUGGAAUGGUCCAUUCUUUCGAUCAUUCCAUUCUGGGCCGGCAGUAUACAACCUAUUCUCGAACAAAACAGAGGGACAGCUCCAUUCCAUUCUCUUCUCUGCUACCGCACAAAAUCAACAUAUACAAAAAUUGUCCGUUGUAUCCGGCGAUUCUCAGCGAGCUUCGAACUCUACCGAAUCUGCAAUCAUCAACGAAUAUGUUUCGUUUUCAUUGAUCUACCAUAAUCUACGAUUCUUAACAUUUUCAAACCUCAAUCUAUCUAAAUAAACAGAGAAACCUGAGCCUGUUGAGGAAAAGGCUGCUGAAGGUGGUUCUGUUAACAGAGCCAGAUCUGAACCUGCAUCUUAGAGUACUGAAUGCGGCUUCAUCUUAAAUUUCUGAUUGUUCAGAGUGCUUUAUUCUCUGAUGCUGGCUUGGAAAGUGGACUUGGUCAUGCUGGAGAAGUGGGAGGGCUAGUAAUAGUUCGGAAUCUUGACCUCUUCUUGGAGAAUUUUUGUAUUUUAUUUGUAAAUUAUGAAGGAGAAUUAGUAGUGGCCAAAGUUUGGAUUUUUUUUUUAAAUUUUUAAUAUUUAUUAUAGUUGAUUUAGUUGCUACUAAUUUGUGUAAUGAAAUGUGAAGUAUGAUUGACAUGAAAUUAAUCCAUUUGUCUAUUUGAUUUAUAAA